rnacentral:antisense_RNA from 1 species
UUUCCUCCCAUCAGAAAAUCACUCAAAAAGAGAGUAUUUAAAGGAAGCCCAAAUCAGGAGAACCUG